rnacentral:rRNA from 1 species
UCGAGAAUCUUCGGCAAUGGGCGAAAGCCUGACCGAGCGAUGCCGCGUGCGGGAUGAAGGCCUUCGGGUUGUAAACCGCUGUCGUAGGGGAGAAAGGGUCGUUGAAGAAACGACUUUGAUCUAUCCUAGGAGGAAGUCCGGGCUAAGUUCGUGCCAGCAGCCGCGGUAACACGAACCGGACAAACGUUAUUCGGAAUUACUGGGCUUAAAGGGUGCGUAGGCGGUGCGGUAAGUGCGGUGUGAAAUCCCACGGCUCAACCGUGGAAUUGUGCUGCAUACUGCCGUGCUAGAGGGAGACAGGGGUAAGCGGAACUGAUGGUGGAGCGGUGAAAUGCGUUGAUAUCAUCAGGAACACCGGUGGCGAAAGCGGCUUACUGGGUCUCUUCUGACGCUGAGGCACGAAAGCUAGGGUAGCAAACGGGAUUAGAUACCCUAGUAGUCCCUGAGCGGGCUGGCAAGGCGCAU